rnacentral:rRNA from 1 species
UACGUAGGGGGCAAGCGUUGUCCGGAAUCAUUGGGCGUAAAGAGCGUGUAGGCGGCCCAGUAAGUCCGCUGUGAAAGUCAAAGGCUCAACCUUUGAAUGUCAGCGGAUACUGCUGGGCUAGAGUCCGGAAGAGGCGAGUGGAAUUCCUGGUGUAGCGGUGGAAUGCGCAGAUAUCAGGAGGAACACCAACGGCGAAGGCAGCUCGCUAGGACGGUACUGACGCUGAGACGCGAAAGCGUGGGGAGCGAACAGG